UGUGUGUGCAUGCGCGCACAUUUGUGUGUGCGUGUUAGCAUGUGUAUAUACAUAUCAGCAAAAAAUCUGUUCUAUUAUGCUAACCUUCACUUGUUGUAUUGUGUAGGAAACCAGACGAGAUUAAGCUCUUGAAUGGGACACCUCAAUGCUUGUAUGGGUUCAGUGAGCUCAUGUGUGUAUAUGCGCACGUGUGUGUGCGCAUGCAUAUGCGCGCACGCGUGCGCGCACGUGGUUUAGCGUAUGUGUGUGGGUUAGCGUAUGUGUAUAUACAUAUCAGCAAAAAAUCUGUUCUAUAAUGCUAACCUUCAUAUGUCUCUCCCUGCUCCUGGAAGUCUAAUGUAUAGAAUUUAAAGCUCAUUGCUGCUGUCACUUGCCAGAAUCAUAAGAAUGACUAUCUCCUAUAGAAGUUUUAAGCUCAAAUAUUGUUUUAGGGAUAUUGGGAUUGCCAUCCUUAUAUGGUAGUUGAGAGAAUCUCUUAUAUAACUUGUUUGGCUUGUUUUUAUGCUAUUUCUGUAUGAGGCAUGUCAGAUUUCUGCUAUAAUUUCCG
rnacentral:lncRNA from 1 species